rnacentral:rRNA from 1 species
GCGGCGUGCUUAACACAUGCAAGUCGAGCGAAGCACUUAGGAAAGAUUCUUCGGAUGAUUUCCUAUUUGACUGAGCGGCGGACGGGUGAGUAACGCGUGGGUAACCUGCCUCAUACAGGGGGAUAACAGUUAGAAAUGACUGCUAAUACCGCAUAAGACCACAGCACCGCAUGGUGCAGGGGUAAAAACUCCGGUGGUAUGAGAUGGACCCGCGUCUGAUUAGUUAGUUGGUGGGGUAACGGCCUACCAAGGCGACGAUCAGUAGCCGACCUGAGAGGGUGACCGGCCACAUUGGGACUGAGACACGGCCCAAACUCCUACGGGAGGCAGCAGUGGGGAAUAUUGCACAAUGGGGGAAACCCUGAUGCAGCGACGCCGCGUGAGCGAAGAAGUAUUUCGGUAUGUAAAGUUCUAUCAGCAGGGAAGAAAAUGACGGUACCUGACUAAGAAGCCCCGGCUAACUACGUGCCAGCAGCCGCGGUAAUACGUAGGGGGCAAGCGUUAUCCGGAUUUACUGGGUGUAAAGGGAGCGUAGACGGAGCAGCAAGUCUGAUGUGAAAACCCGGGGCUCAACCCCGGGACUGCAUUGGAAACUGUUGAUCUGGAGUGCCGGAGAGGUAAGCGGAAUUCCUAGUGUAGCGGUGAAAUGCGUAGAUAUUAGGAGGAACACCAGUGGCGAAGGCGGCUUACUGGACGGUAACUGACGUUGAGGCUCGAAAGCGUGGGGGAGCAAACAGGAUUAGAUACCCUGGUAGUCCACGCCGUAAACGAUGACUACUAGGUGUCGGGUAGCAAAGCCAUUCGGUGCCGCAGCUAACGCAAUAAGUAGUCCACCUGGGGAGUACGUUCGCAAGAAUGAAACUCAAAGGAAUUGACGGGGACCCGCACAAGCGGUGGAGCAUGUGGUUUAAUUCGAAGCAACGCGAAGAACCUUACCUGCUCUUGACAUCCCGGUGACGGCAGAGUAAUGUCUGCUUUUCUUCGGAACACCGGUGACAGGUGGUGCACGGUUGUCGUCAGCUCGUGUCGUGAGAUGUUGGGUUAAGUCCCGCAACGAGCGCAACCCCUAUCUUCAGUAGCCAGCGGUAAGGCCGGGCACUCUGGAGAGACUGCCAGGGAUAACCUGGAGGAAGGUGGGGAUGACGUCAAAUCAUCAUGCCCCUUAUGAGCAGGGCUACACACGUGCUACAAUGGCGUAAACAAAGGGAAGCGAACCCGCGAGGGUGGGCAAAUCCCAAAAAUAACGUCUCAGUUCGGAUUGUAGUCUGCAACUCGACUACAUGAAGCUGGAAUCGCUAGUAAUCGCGAAUCAGAAUGUCGCGGUGAAUACGUUCCCGGGUCUUGUACACACCGCCCGUCACACCAUGGGAGUCAGUAACGCCCGAAGUCAGUGACCCAACCGUAAGGAGGGAGCUGCCGAAGGUGGGACCGAUAACUGG